rnacentral:sRNA from 1 species
AGAAAAAGAAGAAGCACAAGAGGAAGGAA